CAGCCGCCGCGGGAAUACGAAGGGUGCAAGCGUUAAUCGGAAUUACUGGGCGUAAAGCGUACGCAGGCGGUUUGUUAAGUCAGAUGUGAAAUCCCCGGGCUUAACCCGGGAACUGCAUUUGAAACUGGCAGGCUAGAGUCUCGUAGAGGGGGGUAGAAUUCCAGGUGUAGCGGUGAAAUGCGUAGAGAUCUGGAGGAAUACCGGUGGCGAAGGCGGCCCCCUGGACGAAGACUGACGCUCAGGUACGAAAGCGUGGGGAGCAAACAGGAUUAGAUACCCCUGUAGUCCCUGUCUCUUAUAC
rnacentral:rRNA from 1 species